CAGGGCAGUUGCUGCAAGCCCAACCCCCAGGCUGGCCUGACCGUCCCCUCCCCCAGAGUAGCAGAGCCGGGAGGGCCGCCUCCAAACCUCCUCCCCAACGAGCCAUUAAGGAGCCCAAGAGUGGCCUGCAGUCCGCAGUCCCGGAAGGGAGACAGUAUUUAGUGGUUGUGCACUGUGCAGAGAUGUUUCCCAUAGGGUCCCACAGUGAUCCCGGAACCGCUGCGAAACCACAGGAAAACCUCCACCCACCAAGCCAAGUAUUACACCAAAGCACCCCCAGACCGGACAGCACAGGAACGUGGGGGUGGAUCAUCACCCACGACAGAGGAGCCGAUGAAACUCCCAGAGGUCAGAGACCUGGGCUCUGUUCCAGCUCUGCUUCCAGCCACCUGCGUGAUCCUGAAAAGCUCACCUGUAGAUGCAGGCUCUUGAGUAGGGGGGAGCAGGGAGUGAGCAAUAAUACACAGUAGCUUGGAUUUGCAUAAAGGUUACAUCAAAACCAGGGUUUCCCUGGUAGCUCAGAGGGUAAAGCGUCUGUCUGCAAUGCAGGAGACCUGGGUUCGAUCCCUGGGUCGGGAAGAUCCCCUGGAGAAGGAAAUGGCAACCCACUCCAGUAUUCUUGCCUGGAAAAUCCCAUGGAUGGAGAAGCCUGGUGGGCUACAGUCCACGGGGUCACAAAGAGUCGGAUAUGACUGAGCAACUUCACUUUCUUUCUUACAUCAAAACCAAACGAUAAUGGCUGGGGUGGCAGGGGAGAAGGAGAGGGUAGCAGGUAUGGAGAAAGGAACAGGGACGCUUACAUCACCAUAUGUAAAAUAGAUAGCCAAUGGGAGUUUGCUGUAUGACUCAGGGAACUCAAACCGGGGCUGGAUAACAGCCUAGAGGGAGGUGGGAGGGAUGUUCAAGUGGAAGGGGACACGAGUAAACCUAUGGCUGAUUCAUGUUGAUGUUUGGUGAAACCAAUGCAAUGCUAUAAAGCAAUUAUCCUUCAAUUAAAAAUAAAUAAAUAAAAAACCAAAUGAGAGUCA
rnacentral:lncRNA from 1 species